rnacentral:rRNA from 1 species
UUUUCUCUUGAGGGUUUUAUGAGAGAUAUUUCCUGCCCGGUGAUUGUUUUAAACGGCCGCGGUAUUUUGACCGUGCAAAGGUAGCAUAAUCAUUUGCUCUAUAAUUGAGGGCUAGAAUGAAUGGGGGGACGAGGGUUUAGCUGUCUUUUACUUGUGUGUGAAAAUUUCUGUUUUAGUGAAGAAGCUAGAUCGAGUUAAAGGGACAAGAAGACCCUGUUGAGCUUUAUUCUGUUGUUAAUUGUGGUUAAAUAUUUUUAGAAAAGCAAGAGAACAAGGAAUUAGGUUGGGGCGACUGAGAAAGAGUGAAUCUUUCUUUUUUUUCUAUGUUUUCUAACAUUAAGAGCGAUCCAAAAUUUUUGAUAAAGGAGUAAGCUACCACAGGGAUAACAGCGUAAUUUCUUUGGAGAGUUCAUAUCGAGAGGGAAGUUUGCGACCUCGAUGUUGACUUAUGGUUUCCUGAAGGUGUAGCAGCUUUUAUGGUUGGUCUGUUCGACCAUUAAAACUAU